AUACGGAGGGGGUUAGCGUUGUUCGGAAUUACUGGGCGUAAAGCGCACGUAGGCGGAUUGGAAAGUUGGGGGUGGAAUCCCAGGGCUCAACCCUGGAACUGCCUCCAAAACUAACAGUCUAGAGUUCGAGAGAGGUGAGUGGAAUUCCAAGUGUAGAGGUGAAAUUCGUAGAUAUUUGGAGGAACACCAGUGGCGAAGGCGGCUCACUGGCUCGAUACUGACGCUGAGGUGCGAAAGCGUGGGGAGCAAACAGGAUUAGAUACCCUAGUAGUCC
rnacentral:rRNA from 1 species